rnacentral:rRNA from 1 species
UACGUAGGGUGCAAGCGUUAAUCGGAAUACUGGGCGUAAAGCGUGCGCAGGCGGUGAUGUAAGACCGAUGUGAAAUCCCCGGGCUUAACCUGGGAACUGCAUUGGUGACUGCAUUGCUGGAGUAUGGCAGAGGGGGGUGGAAUUCCACGUGUAGCAGUGAAAUGCGUAGAGAUGUGGAGGAACACCGAUGGCGAAGGGCAGCCCCCCUGGGCCAAUACUGACGCUCAUGCACGAAAGCGUGGGGAGCAAA